rnacentral:tRNA from 1 species
GGAUCCAUAGUGUAGUGAGUAGUUAGCACGUCUGCUUUACACACAGAAGAUCCUGGGUUCACACCUCAGGUGGAGCUA